rnacentral:rRNA from 1 species
CUUGCUUUCUUUGCUGGCGACCGGCGCACGGGUGAGUAACACGUAUCCAACCUACCCUUUACUCGGGGAUAGCCUUUCGAAAGAAAGAUUAAUACCCGAUAGUAUAAUGAUUCCGCAUGGUUUCAUUAUUAAAGGAUUCCGGUAAAGGAUGGGGAUGCGUUCCAUUAGGUUGUUGGUGAGGUAACGGCUCACCAAGCCUUCGAUGGAUAGGGGUUCUGAGAGGAAGGUCCCCCACAUUGGAACUGAGACACGGUCCAA